rnacentral:rRNA from 1 species
UACGGAGGGGGCUAGCGUUGUUCGGAAUUACUGGGCGUAAAGCGCACGUAGGCGGCUUUGUACGUUAGAGGUGAAAGCCCGGGGCUCAACUCCGGAAUUGCCUUUAAAACUGCAUCGCUAGAAUUGUGGAGAGGUAAGUGGAAUUCCGGGUGUAGAGGUGAAAUUCGUAGAUAUUCGGAAGAACACCAGUGGCGAAGGCGACUUACUGGACACAUAUUGACGCUGAGGUGCGAAAGCGUGGGGAGCAAACAGG